UACGGGGGGGGCAAGCGUUGUUCGGAAUCACUGGGCGUAAAGGGCGCGUAGGCGGCUUUAUAAGUCGGGGGUGAAAGCCUGUGGCUCAACCACAGAAUUGCCUUCGAUACUGUAUGGCUAGAGGCCGGAAGAGGUAAGUGGAACUGCGAGUGUAGAGGUGAAAUUCGUAGAUAUUCGCAAGAACACCAGUGGCGAAGGCGGCUUACUGGUCCGGUUCUGACGCUGAGGCGCGAAAGCGUGGGGAGCAAACAGG
rnacentral:rRNA from 1 species